AGACUGUAUCUUCCCAGCAACAGCGGAGUAGUCGCAUACCCAACAGACAAGAGGGUGGUGUUCCCAGUGUUCAUCUCGUCCUCAACAAAUUAUUAUUUUUAACAUAUUUGUUUUAAUCCCCAGCCUGAGGACGAUUAGCAAGUUCAUAUCCCCAACAAAGGUCGAUUCCUACGACAUUUCCCCAGGAAGUGCUUUCCUCACAAACUCUCCUCGCAGAGCCUCGCCAAGCAAAGUUUCCAUAGUUG
rnacentral:lncRNA from 1 species